rnacentral:tRNA from 1 species
AGAAACUUAGGUUCAACCAAACCAAGAGCCUUCAAAGCCCUAAAUAGGAGUACCCACCCCCCUCGUUUCUG